rnacentral:rRNA from 1 species
AGCGAACGUUAGCGGCAGGCCUAACACAUGCAAGUCGAGCGAGAAAAGGGGCUUCGGCUCCUGAGUAAAGCGGCGGACGGGUGAGUAACACGUGGGUAAUCUGCCCUUCGGUGGGGGAAAACAGUCCGAAAGGAUUGCUAAUACCGCAUACGUCGCCGGGCUCUGCGGAGCCUGGCGGGAAAGCCGGCCUCUACUUGUAAGCUGGCGCCGGAGGAGGAGCCCGCGUCCCAUCAGCUAGUUGGCGGGGUAACGGCCCACCAAGGCAAAGACGGGUAGCUGGUCUGAGAGGAUGAUCAGCCACACUGGGACUGAGACACGGCCCAGACUCCUACGGGAGGCAGCAGUGGGGAAUAUUGGACAAUGGGCGCAAGCCUGAUCCAGCCAUGCCGCGUGAGUGAUGAAGGCCCUCGGGUCGUAAAGCUCUGUGGGGAGGGACGAACCGCUCCGACCUAACACGUCGGAGUCUGACGGUACCUCCUUAGCAAGCACCGGCUAACUCCGUGCCAGCCGCCGCCGUAAGAC